UUACACUUCAUUGCAAUUGCAUUUGGCAUGUCCUUCUUAUCAAGCUCUGCUUCUAGUAUGCUAACCUUUGCAGAUUUUCUUUCUAACUCUUCCUCCAGGUCCUUAUACUUCAUUGCAAUUUCACUUGACAAAUCCUUCUUCUUAUCAAGCUCUGCUUCUAGUAUGUCAACCUUUGCUGAUUUUCUUUCUAACUCUUCCUCCAGGUCCCUACACUUAAUUGCUAUUUCACUUGACAAAUCCUUCUUCUUAUCUAGCUCUGAUUCUAGUAUGUCAACCUUUGCAGAUUUUCUUUCUAACUCUUCCUCCAGGUCCCUACACUUCAUUGCAAUUUCACUUGACAAAUCCUUCUUCUUAUCAAGCUCAGCUUCUAGUAUAUCAACCUUUGCAGAUUUUCUUUCUAACUCUUCCUCCAGGUUCCUAUACUUCAUUGCAAUUUCACAUGACACAGCCCUCUCCUUAUCAACCUCAGCUUCUAAGAAUUCAACCUUCACAGAUAAUGUUUCAG
rnacentral:lncRNA from 1 species